UACAGAAGGUGCGAGCGUUAAUCGGAAUUACUGGGCGUAAAGCGUGCGCAGGCGGUGAUGUAAGACCGAUGUGAAAUCCCCGGGCUUAACCUGGGAACUGCAUUGGUGACUGCAUCGCUCGAGUAUGGCAGAGGGGGGUAGAAUUCCACGUGUAGCAGUGAAAUGCGUAGAGAUGUGGAGGAAUACCGAUGGCGAAGGCAGCCCCCUGGGUCAAUACUGACGCUCAUGCACGAAAGCGUGGGGAGCAAACAGG
rnacentral:rRNA from 1 species